UACGGGGGGGGCGAGCGUUGUUCGGAAUUACUGGGCGUAAAGGGCUCGUAGGUGGCCAACUAAGUCGGACGUGAAAUCCCUCGGCUUAACCGGGGAACUGCGUCCGAUACUGGAUGGCUUGAGUUUGGGAGAGGGAUGCGGAAUUCCAGGUGUAGCGGUGAAAUGCGUAGAUAUCUGGAGGAACACCGGUGGCGAAGGCGGCAUCCUGGACCAACACUGACACUGAGGAGCGAAAGCCAGGGGAGCAAACGGG
rnacentral:rRNA from 1 species